AUGUUAUUAUUACAAACUCUACUGAAUUUAUUUUAUUUAAACUUUGGUUAUUUUGGUUUUAUUAUUUGGAUGAUAAGUAAAAGGGCUUUCUUUAAUCAUUGUAAGCCCAAAAUGAACAAAAAGGACAUGGCCCGGAACCUAAAACAAUCACUAUACAAAUUGAGGCAAAAACACUUAAGGGUUUCAAGCACUGUCUUUUCUUUUUUCUUCUUUUCCAGAAUCAAAACUUUCCAUUUUAAACAAUAA